ACGCUGGCGGCAGGCCUAACACAUGCAAGUCGAGCGGUAGAGAGAAGCUUGCUUCUCUUGAGAGCGGCGGACGGGUGAGUAAUGCCUAGGAAUCUGCCUGGUAGUGGGGGAUAACGUUCGGAAACGGACGCUAAUACCGCAUACGUCCUACGGGAGAAAGCAGGGGACCUUCGGGCCUUGCGCUAUCAGAUGAGCCUAGGUCGGAUUAGCUAGUUGGUGGGGUAAUGGCUCACCAAGGCGACGAUCCGUAACUGGUCUGAGAGGAUGAUCAGUCACACUGGAACUGAGACACGGUCCAGACUCCUACGGGAGGCAGCAGUGGGGAAUAUUGGACAAUGGGCGAAAGCCUGAUCCAGCCAUGCCGCGUGUGUGAAGAAGGUCUUUCGGAUUGUAAAGCACUUUAAGUUGGGAGGAAGGGCAGUUGCCUAAUACGUAACUGUUUUGACGUUACCGACAGAAUAAGCACUGGCUAACUCUGUGCCAGCAGCCGCGGUAAUACAGAGGGUGCAAGCGUUAAUCGGAAUUACUGGGCGUAAAGCGCGCGUAGGUGGUUUGUUAAGUUGGAUGUGAAAUCCCCGGGCUCAACCUGGGAACUGCAUUCAAAACUGACUGACUAGAGUAUGGUAGAGGGUGGUGGAGUUUCCUGUGUAGCGGUGAAAUGCGUAGAUAUAGGAAGGAACACCAGUGGCGAAGGCGACCACCUGGACUGAUACUGACACUGAGGUGCGAAAGCGUGGGGAGCAAAC
rnacentral:rRNA from 1 species